rnacentral:rRNA from 1 species
AUUAUGGCUCAGGAUGAACGCUAGCUACAGGCUUAACACAUGCAAGCGAGGGGCAGCAGGCAAUAGCUGCUAUGUGCUGGCGACCGGCGCACGGGUGAGUAACGCGUAUCCAACCUACCCCGCGGUCAGGGACAGCCCGGCGAAAGUCGGAUUAAUACCUGAUGCAGUCAGAAGAGGGCAUCUGAUUUUGACGAAAGAUUGAUCGCCUCGGGAUGGGGAUGCGUAGGAUUAGGCAGGCGGCGGGGUAACGGCCCACCGCGCCGACGAUCCUUAGGGGUUCUGAGAGGAAGGUCCCCCACACUGGUACUGAGACACGGACCAGACUCCUACGGGAGGCAGCAGUGAGGAAUAUUGGUCAAUGGGCGCGAGCCUGAACCAGCCAAGUAGCGUGCAAGGACGACGGCCCUAUGGGUUGUAAACUGCUUUUAUGCGGGGAUAAAGUGCGGCACGUGUGCCGUUUUGUAGGUACCGCAUGAAUAAGGACCGGCUAAUUCCGUGCCAGCAGCUGC